rnacentral:rRNA from 1 species
AGUGAACGCUGGCGGUAGGCCUAACACAUGCAAGUCGAACGGCAGCACAGGAGAGCUUGCUCUCUGGGUGGCGAGUGGCGGACGGGUGAGGAAUACAUCGGAAUCUACUCUGUCGUGGGGGAUAAUGUAGGGAAACCUACGCUAAUACCGCAUACGACCUACGGGUGAAAGCAGGGGACCUUCGGGCCUUGCGCGAUUGAAUGAGCCGAUGUCGGAUUAGCUAGUUGGCGGGGUAAAGGCCCACCAAGGCGACGAUCCGUAGCUGGUCUGAGAGGAUGAUCAGCCACACUGGAACUGAGACACGGUCCAGACUCCUACGGGAGGCAGCAGUGGGGAAUAUUGGACAAUGGGCGCAAGCCUGAUCCAGCCAUACCGCGUGGGUGAAGAAGGCCUUCGGGUUGUAAAGCCCUUUUGUUGGAGAAGAAAUGCUCAAAUAUAAUACAUUUGAGAGAUGACGUUACCCACAGAAGAAGCACCGGCAAACUCUGUGCCAGCCGCCGCAGUAA